rnacentral:rRNA from 1 species
UACAGAGGUCUCAAGCGUUGUUCGGAUUCAUUGGGCGUAAAGGGUGUGUAGGCGGCGCCGUAAGUCGGGUGUGAAAUUUCGGAGCUUAACUCCGAAACUGCAUUCGAUACUGCGGUGCUUGAGGACUGGAGAGGAGACUGGAAUUCAUGGUGUAGCGGUGAAAUGCGCAGAUAUCAGGAGGAACACCGGUGGCGAAGGCGGGUCUCUGGGCCACUACUGACGCUGAGAAGCGAAAGCAAGGGGAGCGAACAGG